CGGCGAUGAGGAGAUGACCUACUGUGUUGAAUUAGGGUGAUAGUUCUUAUACGCUAUUCUGAGCCGAUU
rnacentral:snoRNA from 1 species